UGAUCAGAAGCAGAGGUACCGACAGGAAUUCACACAUCACAGGCAGAAGUGUCCACAAUCAGCGAAUAGAGAGGAUGUGGAGAGAUGUUUAUGAACAUGCCCUGGACCUCUUCUAUCAGAUCUUCACUUCAUUGGAAGAUCAGGGAACAUUGAAUCCAGACAAUGAAGUCCAUCUUUUCGCUCUGCACCGGAUCUUCCUUCCACUGAUUCAGCAAAGCCUCGACUCUUUUCGAGAUGCUUGGAACUUUCACGGUCUUAGAACUGAAAGGAAUCAGUCACCACAACAUCUCUGGAGAAGUUACAGAGAGCAAGGCCCUGAGGAGGAUCCUACUGAGGUUCCUGAAGAAUAUGGGAUCGAUUGGAACGGACCUCACUGCCUUCAUGGAGGCACUGUGUCAGUCCCCGAGGUUCAGCUGGCCCGUGAGCUCUCAGAUGAAGAGGUUGCAAUUUUGCCAGCUCCAGGAGUUUCUGUUACUGAUGCACUUAGACUAUAUGUAGAGACUGUGGAAGUGUUAUCAAGAAUCUUAGACUGAUG